rnacentral:rRNA from 1 species
GACGAACGCUGGCGGCGUGCUUAACACAUGCAAGUCGAACGGCAGCACGGGUGCUUGCACCUGGUGGCGAGUGGCGAACGGGUGAGUAAUACAUCCGAACGUACCUUAUCGUGGGGGAUAACGCAGCGAAAGCUGUGCUAAUACCGCAUACGCCCUGAGGGGGAAAGCGGGGAUCGCAAGACCUCGCGCGAUUAGAGCGGCCGAUGCCUGAUUAGCUUGUUGGUGGGGUAAAAGCCCACCAAGGCGACGAUCAGUAGCUGGUCUGAGAGGACGAUCAGCCACACUGGGACUGAGACACGGCCCAGACUCCUACGGGAGGCAGCAGUGGGGAAUUUUGGACAAUGGGGGCAACCCUGAUCCAGCAAUGCCGCGUGAGUGAAGAAGGCCUUCGGGUUGUAAAGCUCUUUUGUCAGGGAAGAAACACCGGCUCUAACACAGUCUGGGAAUGACGGUACCUGAAGAAUAAGCACCGGCUAACUACGUGCCAGCCGCCGCCGUAA